rnacentral:rRNA from 1 species
GACGGAGGGUGCUAGCGUUGUUCGGAAUGACUGGGCGUAAAGGGCGCGUAGGCGGCCGCUUGCGUCGGAUGUGAAAGCCCGGGGCUCAACCCCGGAACGGCAUCCGAUACGGAGCGGCUCGAGACCGAGAGAGGUGAGUGGAAUACCCAGUGUAGAGGUGAAAUUCGUAGAUAUUGGGUGGAACACCGGUGGCGAAAGCGGCUCACUGGCUCGGUUCUGACGCUGAGGCGCGAAAAGCGUGGGGGAGCAAACAGG